rnacentral:rRNA from 1 species
GACGAACGCUGGCGGCGUGCUUAACACAUGCAAGUCGAACGGUAAGGCCCUUCGGGGUACACGAGUGGCGAACGGGUGAGUAACACGUGGGUGAUCUGCCCUGCACUUCGGGAUAAGCCUGGGAAACUGGGUCUAAUACCGGACAGGACCACUGCCUGCAUGGGUGGUGGUGGAAAGCUUUUGCGGUGUGGGAUGGGCCCGCGGCCUAUCAGCCUGUUGGUGGGGUGAUGGCCUACCAAGGCGACGACGGGUAGCCGGCCUGAGAGGGUGACCGGCCACACUGGGACUGAGAUACGGCCCAGACUCCUACGGGAGGCAGCAGUGGGGAAUAUUGCACAAUGGGCGCAAGCCUGAUGCAGCGACGCCGCGUGAGGGAUGACGGCCUUCGGGUUGUAAACCUCUUUCAGCACCGACGAAGCGCAAGUGACGGUAGGUGCAGAAGAAGGACCGGCCAACUACGUGCCAGCAGCCGCGGUAA